GACGAACGCUGGCGGCGUGCUUAACACAUGCAAGUCGAACGGAAAGGCCCUGCUUUUGUGGGGUGCUCGAGUGGCGAACGGGUGAGUAACACGUGAGUAACCUGCCCUUGACUUUGGGAUAACUUCAGGAAACUGGGGCUAAUACCGGAUAGGAGCUCCUGCUGCAUGGUGGGGGUUGGAAAGUUUCGGCGGUUGGGGAUGGACUCGCGGCUUAUCAGCUUGUUGGUGGGGUAGUGGCUUACCAAGGCUUUGACGGGUAGCCGGCCUGAGAGGGUGACCGGCAAAAUGGGGACUGAGAUACGGCCCAGACUCCUACGGGAGGCAGCAGUGGGGAAUAUUGCACAAUGGGCGGAAGCCUGAUGCAGAAACGCCGCGUGCGGGAUGACGGCCUUCGGGUUGUAAACCGCUUUCGCCUGUGACGAAGCGUGAGUGACGGUAAUGGGUAAAGAAGCACCGGCUAACUACGUG
rnacentral:rRNA from 1 species